rnacentral:tRNA from 3 species
GCGCUCGUGGCUCAAUUGGAUAGAGCAUCUGACUUCGGAUCAGACGGUUGGGGGUUCGAGUCCCUCCGAGCGCG